GUAGGUGGCAAGCGUUGUCCGGGAAUUAUUGGGGCGUGAAGCGCGCGCAGGCGGUUCUUUAAGUCUGAUGUGAAAGCCCACGGGCUCAACCGUGGAGGGUCAUUGGAAACUGGAGAACUUGAGUACAGAAGAGGAAAGCGGAAUUCCACGUGUAGCGGUGAAAUGCGUAGAGAUGUGGAGGAACACCAGUGGCGAAGGCGGCUUUCUGGUCUGUAACUGACGCUGAGGCGCGAAAGCGUGGGGAGCAAACAGGAUUAGAUACCCUGGUAGUCCACGCCGUAAACGAUGAGUGCUAAGUGUUAGGGAGUUUCCGCCCCUUAGUGCUGCAGCUAACGCAUUAAGCACUCCGCCUGGGGAGUACGGCCGCAAAGGCUG
rnacentral:rRNA from 1 species